GUUGUCUAGUGGCGCAGGAGACGAUAUCGUGCAGUGCACGGCAACCGUAUUUCUCAUCAUCGUGUGUGCGCAUGCGCUUGAGGUGCGUGCAUCUUUAAACGACCUUUUGUUUUAUUUUUGCGCAUCCACCCACUCGUUGACAAACACGGUUACACAGUGCGCCCCCCCCUCCCUCUUUUUCCGGUCUGAGGUGGGUGUAUGCGUGUGUGUGUGUGCGCGCUGUGCCCCGCGUUACUGAGCGGGCGAAUGACGCGCAGCAACAUUAGAAGGCGAAAACACACAAUGAAUUGUGAGGAGCACCGGGUGGGUGCGAUGACGCGGCUCAAAGAGAAGCUCACUCGGACGACGCAAGGCACACACACACACACCCAAAUACACAUGCACGAGUAGGGGCCUUCUCCCCCCAAUGUAGCACGAGACGGCGGUGGGUAAAAAAAUAAGCUUUAGCGCAUGCACAGGCGAAAUAGACGGGAAGUGAGCACUGCGAGGGGGGGGAGAGGAGUGAUAACCAGCAGCAGGCGCUGUAAACCGCUCUUUCUUCCAAACGCGGCUCUCGUUUGUUGUGCAUUCAAUCCUGCGCGUGCCCGAUUCCCCAUCACCACAUGUCUCUUAGCGCGCUGACAGCCCCCCCCCUCCUCCUCCCCCUCCCUCCAAAAAAAAAG
rnacentral:misc_RNA from 1 species